rnacentral:rRNA from 1 species
AAGUAGUCUUAUAAUCAAAUGUAUUUAUUUUGGCGGCAUUUCAUCUACUUAAAGGAACCUGUCAAUUAAUCGAUAAUCCACGAUAAAUUUCACUUCAAUUAUUAAUUUAUAUACCGCCAUCUUAAGAAUUAAUCAUAAAAUAUUAUUCUUAAUUAAAAUUAAAAAGUUAGGUCAAGGUGUAAUUUAUAUUUUAGAAUAUGAUGUGUUACAAUAAUAUAAAUUUAAGAAUUAAAAAUAAAAAAUACUUAUGAAAAAGAAUUUAAAAGUAAUUAAAUAAUAUAAUUUUAAAUAAAUAAGAAAACAAAUGUGU